GGGCGUUCUGAAGACCUGCUCUCUAGGCCACAUGCUGAGGACCCUGGUUCCUCGAGGGCUCCCGAGCCCGCCUAGGGGAAAGUCCCCGGACCCCCGGCAGAGAGUGCCGCGCGCCCGGUAGCGCGCAGUGACCCGCCUCGCAGGCUCACGUUCUCCCGCCGAGAAGCCCCUCGGGCUGAGCGGGUGGGCGCGGGAUGGGCUGCCCGUCACUCCCACAGGAACGCAGGUAGUGCGCAGGCGCGGUUCCCUCCGGGGGAUCCCGCUGCCGCACCAACACAACGGGGCUCAUUCUCAGAACGCC
ensembl:ribozyme RNase_MRP RNase MRP